rnacentral:pre_miRNA from 1 species
AGCGCGAUUGCUGGGUCAUAUGGUAAAAGUAUGUUUAAUUUUGAGGGAAACUGCCAAUCUAUCUUCCCAAGUGGCUGUACCAUUUGCAUUCCCACUAGUAGU